CCUACGGGUGGCAGCAGUAGGGAAUCUUCCACAAUGGACGAAAGUCUGAUGGAGCAACGCCGCGUGAGUGAAGAAGGUUUUCGGAUCGUAAAACUCUGUUGUAAGGGAAGAACAAGUACGUGAGUAACUGCACGUACCUUGACGGUACCUUAUUAGAAAGCCACGGCUAACUACGUGCCAGCAGCCGCGGUAAUACGUAGGUGGCAAGCGUUGUCCGGAAUUAUUGGGCGUAAAGCGCGCGCAGGCGGUCCUUUAAGUCUGAUGUGAAAGCCCACGGCUCAACCGUGGAGGGUCAUUGGAAACUGGGGGACUUGAGUGCAGGAGAGGUUAGUGGAAUUCCAAGUGUAGCGGUGAAAUGCGUAGAGAUUUGGAGGAACACCAGUGGCGAAGGCGACUAACUGGCCUGUAACUGACGCUGAGGCGCGAAAGCGU
rnacentral:rRNA from 1 species